GUAAGGACGCGUAGGCGGGAAGCCAAGUCUGAUGUGAAAUCCUAUGGCUUAACCAUAGAACUGCAUUGGAAACUGGUUACCUAGAGUAUGGGAGGGGGAGAUGGAAUUAGUGGUGUAGGGGUAAAAUCCGUAGAUAUCACUAGGAAUACCGAAAGCGAAGGCGAUCUCCUGGAACAAUACUGACGCUAAGGCGUGAAAGCGUGGGGAGCAAACGGGAUUAGAUACCCCGGUAGUCCACGCCCUAAACGAUGUUCACUAGUCGUCGGAAUGCUAGUCAUUUCGGUGAUGCACUUAACAGAUUAAGUGAACCGCCUGGGGAGUACGGUCGCAAGAUUAAAACUCAAAGGAAUAGACGGGGACCCGCACAAGUGGUGGAGCAUGUGGUUUAAUUCGAAGAUACGCGAAGAACCUUACCUAGCCUUGACAUUGAAGAAACACUUUAGAGAUAGAGUGGUGCCCCUCGGGGAAUCUGAAAACAGGUGCUGCACGGCUGUCGUCAGCUCGUGUCGUGAGAUGUUGGGUUAAGUCCCGCAACGAGCGCAACCCUCGUCCUUAGUUGCCAGCAGGUUAAGCUGGGCACUUUAAGGAGACUGCCUUCGCAAGGAGGAGGAAGGUGAGGACGACGUCAAGUCAUCAUGGCCCUUAUGGCUAGGGCUACACACGUGCUACAAUGGGGCGUACAGAGAGUUGCGAUACCGCGAGGUGGAGCCAAUCUCAUAAAGCGUCUCUCAGUUCGGAUUGGAGUCUGCAACUCGACUCCAUGAAGCUGGAAUCACUAGUAAUCGUAGAUCAGCAAUGCUACGGUGAAUACGUU
rnacentral:rRNA from 1 species